UUUCAUUUGCGCCGACCUCAGAGCAGGUG
rnacentral:rRNA from 5 species